GAGUUUGAUCUGGCUCAGGACGAACGCUGGCGGCGUGCUUAACACAUGCAAGUCGAACGAGAAUCUGUGGAACGAGGAUUCGUCCAAGGGAAACAGAGGACAGUGGCGGACGGGUGAGUAACGCGUGAGGAACCUGCCUUUCAGAGGGGGACAACAGUUGGAAACGACUGCUAAUACCGCAUAACACAUAGGGGUCGCAUGGCCUUUAUGUCAAAGAUUUAUCGCUGAAGGAUGGCCUCGCGUCUGAUUAGCUAGUUGGUGAGGUAACGGCCCACCAAGGCGACGAUCAGUAGCCGGACUGAGAGGUUGAACGGCCACAUUGGGACUGAGAUACGGCCCAGACUCCUACGGGAGGCAGCAGUGGGGAAUAUUGGGCAAUGGGCGCAAGCCUGACCCAGCAACGCCGCGUGAAGGAAGAAGGCUUUCGGGUUGUAAACUUCUUUUGUCAGGGACGAGUAGAAGACGGUACCUGACGAAUAAGCCACGGCUAACUACGUGCCAGCCGCCGCGGUAAUAC
rnacentral:rRNA from 1 species